AGUCUUUUCGUUCCAAUUCUCUCUCUGGUAUCUCUCACGCACACAUAGAGGAAGAGGGAGAGAGGGUUUAACAGUUCAAUCGAGAAUGGUGACUGCUCGCAUCUCCUCCGCCGCUCCUCUUCGCCGCCGACCUCCACCGUCCCUCUCCGGAGACCACGUCCGCGGCUACGCGACUUAAAAGACGUCAUUGUCUCUCAAUGUUCCAUAUCCUCAUUGAUCUUAGUGAAAACCCUGACUGGCAAGACGAUCAAAUUGAAUCGAGUGAUAUCAUCGACAAUAUCAAGGCCAAGGCUUAGCACCAUGCUGAUUCGCGUUUUGUUCGUCCGUUGGAUUUAGGAAAGGCAUCCCUCUCAUGCUGGUGCAAAUGGAGGGCUUUUACUAUGCCAUCACUGCCAGAGGCUGAAGGACAAUUGCUGGUGUAGCAAAGCAUUGAGGGAAUAACCACCUGACUUAUAAAUUAAAGCUUAUAGGAGUAAUAAUUAUGAGCGUGACUACAAGGAUAUAUUGGGUCUUGGUGACAAUUUAAGGCAGACUUUGAAGAGCGACUUGGUGGCUUGGCUGGAUGCUGUUGUGUACAAUUCAUUUGUGCGCUAUAGCACUAUGGGUAUGCCUUUUAUAACUUCAAUAUUGUCGAUUCGUAAAAUUUAAAAUUUUGCCUUCGCCUUGCUGCUAAUGCAGAGAAUGAGAGCAUUAUUUUGGUACAUUUGAGCAUUAUUUUUCAUAGUUCAUAAGUUCAAAAGCCAGAGUUUUGUAUGGUAUGAUAUCUCUUUUGUGUAAGAUUGUUGGGUCCUUGAUAACUUCCAAAGUCAUGUAUGGCUUUGUAUAGCUUUGGGUUUUUAGAACUGUUAAAUUUUAUCUUAUAUCUUGUAGUCUCA